AACGAACGCUGGCGGCAUGCCUAACACAUGCAAGUCGAACGAACCCUUCGGGGUUAGUGGCGCACGGGUGCGUAACGCGUGGGAAUCUUCCCUUUGCUUCGGAAUAACUCAGGGAAACUUGUGCUAAUACCGGAUGAUGUCUUCGGACCAAAGAUUUAUCGGCAAGGGAUGAGCCCGCGUAGGAUUAGGUAGUUGGUGGGGUAAAGGCCUACCAAGCCGACGAUCCUUAGCUGGUCUGAGAGGAUGAUCAGCCACACUGGGACUGAGACACGGCCCAGACUCCUACGGGAGGCGGCAGUGGGGAAUAUUGGACAAUGGGCGCAAGCCUGAUCCAGCAAUGCCGCGUGAGUGAUGAAGGCCCUCGAGUCGUAAAGCUCUUUUACCAGGGAUGAUAAUGACGGUACCUGGAGAAUAAGCUCCGGCUAACUCCGUG
rnacentral:rRNA from 1 species